rnacentral:tRNA from 1 species
GGGCGAUUAGCUCAGUUGGUUAGAGCGCCAUCCUUACAAGGUGGAUGUCACAGGUUCGAGUCCUGUAUCGCCCA